ACCUCACUGGCUUAGUCGAUAGAGCAUGUAACUCUUGAUUUGAGGGUUGUGAGUUCAUACCCCACGUUGGGUA
rnacentral:tRNA from 1 species